GACGAACCGUGCGAACGUUAUUCGGAAUCACUGGGCUUAAAGCGCGUGUAGGCGGAUGGGAACGUCGGUAGUUGAAAGCCCCCGGCUCAACUGGGGAGGGUCAUUCGAUACUGAUCGACUUGAAGGCAGGAGAGGGAAGUGGAAUUCCCGGUGUAGUGGUGAAAAUGCGUAGAUAUCGGGAGGAACACCAGUGGCGAAGGCGACUUCCUGGCCUGUUCUUGACGCUGAGGCGCGAAAGCUAGGGGAGCAAACGGG
rnacentral:rRNA from 1 species